UCAUUUUUGUGUCUAUAUAAUGUUUGCAAAAGAAAACAGAAAGACAUGUGCAGGAUUAAAAUAUGAAACUCUAUGCUGCCAUUCGUUUCAUAAUGCUAAUUGCCCUCUUUGCAGCAAAUAUUUUUGGAGUGCAUAAUCAUUUGGUCAAGGCAGACGUGGACUACCCGGUAACACGAAAUUUGAGAGUCCAACCAAGUCCUCCACUUCCUCCUAGUACAGCCACCGAACACAGUCCUAGAAGAGCCAAGCGACAUCGCAAUCAUGGUCGACGUUAAAGGGCUCAUCUGCCACCACCGCCUUCUAACCAACAGCACAGAAACGGUGAGUUGAGGUAGAAAACGCUAAUUAAGUACGAUUAUUCAGGUUAAAUGGUGGAAAUUUCAGCAUAAUUGGAGCAUUUUUUGACGAUG